AGCCUAAAGGAAGUAUUUCAAAUAACAAGAAGGAGAGAAGCAUUCAUGUUCUGUACCUUCAAGCGUGACUGCAGUCAUCAUUUGAGGCCUGGAGAUUGCAGCCCCAUCAAUGUUGCAGCAGCAUUUGCUCUAGCCUUGGUAAGCCCAGAGUUUUUCCACAAUGUUCCACCAGCACAGCAAGUAUCCAUUUACUUCAGAUGUAGUACAUCAAGUCUGAUAGCCUAUCCAACAGUAAUCAGUGCUAAAGGUCUCAGAGGAGAGUGCAAACCUAACAGGCAUACAACACCAAGCAUUCAGGAGAAAGAGAAGAUGCUGAAGUAGCACACAGGCGCCUGCAAUUUCUGUGUUUCCUAAGAGCUUGGGAAGGCUCCCGACAGCCCUCCCAUGCUGACAGAAGUACCACCACCCACCCCACCAACAUCAGUGAGAUACACCAGAGCAGCAGGCUGGAAAUGGAGGAUUUGCUCCAUCAGCAAACAGGCUGCCCUGGAAGGAAACCCCUUGGGAGGAGGAAGCAGCCCUGUGUUGAGGGCAAGCGAGGUUCAGGAAGAAAGCUGCUGAUAGAUGUCCAGUGAGACCAGUCUCAUUCAUUCAUCUGUCAGGAGACUUCAUUUGUUUACCAUGGCCUCAUCCUCAUCAUGUCAACCAGUGUGCUGUAUUAAUAUGUUGAAUUAGCUUGUAGCUCUCAAUAAAUUACUGGCUGACAUGUUUUGGCUGCUUUUGAUUUGAUAUAAAGAAGGAGAUGCAACAGUAAUCACCAAAAAGAGUGGAUAUCACUGUCCAUCUCAUGACAGGGUGAUUAAUGGUUUUUAAUGGUACUGCUUUGACCUCUGCCAGUUAGCCCUAGCCAGGAAAUACAAAAGCAGCUUCUCUCUG